AUUGAACGCUGGCGGCGUGCUUAACACAUGCAAGUCGAUCGGUAACAGGUGUAGCAAUACAUGCUGACGAGAGGCGGACGGGUGAGGAACGCUUGGGAAUCUGCCUAUCAGCGGGGGACAACCCGGGGAAACCCGGGCUAAUACCGCAUACGCUCUACGGAGGAAAGCCGGGGACCGCAAGGCCUGGCACUGAUAGAUGAGCCCAAGUCGGGUUAGCUAGUUGGCGGGGUAACGGCCCACCAAGGCGACGAUCCGUAGCUGGUCUGAGAGGACGAUCGGCCACACCGGAAAUGAGACACGGUCCGGACUCCUACGGGAGGCAGCAGUGGGGAAUAUUGGACAAUGGGCGAAAGCCUGAUCCAGCGACGCCGCGUGGGUGAAGAAGGCCUGCGGGUUGUAAAGCCCUUUCGGUAGGGACGAAAGCUCUCGACCUAACACGUCGGGAGGUUGACUUAACCUACAAAAGAAGCACCGGCUAACUCUGUGCCAGCAGCCGCCGUAA
rnacentral:rRNA from 1 species